rnacentral:rRNA from 1 species
UAAAGCAAGAAAGGGCGUAUGGGGAAUGCCUAGGCACACUCCGGCGAAGAAGGACGCAGCAAACAGCGAAAUGCGACGGUGAGCGGUAAGCACGUGAAGAGCCGUCGAUAUCCGAAUGGGGGAACCCACACGGAGUCAUAUCCGUGUAUCACAUGUCGAAUACAUAGACAUGAUGAGGCGAGACGCAGGGAACUGAAACAUCUAAGUACCUGCAGGAAGAGAAAAUAAGAAUGAUUUUCUGAGUAGCGGCGAGCGAAAGGGAAAGAGCCCAAACCGAUCUGAGGAUCGGGGUAGUAGGAUCAUCGAUAAAUCAAACAGAGGAUCAUAGAGGAAUCACAUGGGAAGGUGAGCGAGAGAGGGUGAGAGCCCCGUACUCGAAAUGAGAGACUGGAGAGAGAUGACACCUGAGUAGGGCGGGACACGAGAAAUCCUGUCUGAAUCAGCCGGGACCAUCCGGCAAGGCUAAAUACGAGAGAGUGACCGAUAGUGAACCAGUACCGUGAGGGAAAGGUGAAAAGAACCCCGGGAGGGGAGUGAAAGAGAACCUGAAACCAUAUGCCUACAAGAAGUCAGAGCCCGUUAAAGGGUGAUGGCGUGCCUUUUGUAGAAUGAACCGGCGAGUUACUGUAUGGAGCGAGGUUAAGCAGGAUAUGCGGAGCCGAAGCGAAAGCGAGUCUUAAGAGGGCGCGAGUUGCAUGCAGUAGACCCGAAACCGGGUGAUCUAGCCAUGACCAGGUUGAAGUUGGGGUAAAACCCGAUGGAGGACCGAACCGACCCCCGUUGAAACGUUGGCGGAUGAGUUGUGGCUAGGGGUGAAAUUCCAAUCGAACCCGGAGAUAGCUGGUUCUCCCCGAAAUAGCUUUAGGGCUAGCGUCGAGAGAAGAGUUGCGUGAAGGUAGAGCACUGAAUAUGUGAUGGCCCCAUCUCGGGGUACUGAGCAUAAUCAAACUGCGAAUGUCACGCCAACAUGCUCGGCAGUCAGACAGCGGGUGAUAAGGUCCGUUGUCAAGAGGGAAACAGCCCAGACCAUCAGCUAAGGUCCCAAAAUGUAUGCUAAGUGGAAAAGGAUGUGGAGAUGUACAGACAACUAGGAGGUUGGCUCAGAAGCAGCCAUCCUUUAAAGAGUGCGUAACAGCUCACUAGUCGAAUGACUCUGCGCCGAUAAUUUACCGGGGCUAAGCAUACUACCGAAGCUAUGGAUCCCAAGGGAUGGUAGGGGAGCGUUCCAUGAACGGAGAAGUACGACCGAAAGGACGUGUGGAGAUCAUGGAAGAGAGAAUGCCGGUGUGAGUAGCGGAACGUGGGUGAGAAUCCCACGCACCGAAAACCCAAGGUUUCCAGAGGAAGGUUCGUCCGCUCUGGGUAAGUCGGGACCUAAGGCGAGGCCGAAAGGCGUAGUCGAUGGACAACAGGUAGAGAUUCCUGUACCCGUAUAUAUGUGAAGGAAUGACGGAGAGAGGAAGCUGCAGCCAGCGGCUGGAAGAGCUGGUGCAAGCGAGAUAUCGGGAUGGCAGGCAAAUCCACCAUCCGAAACGAGAAGGCGUGAAGCGUACGGAAAGCUACGGCGAGUACGGAAGGCAGUGGAGGAACUUCCAAGAAAAGUUUCUAACGUUAAGUAUAUAUGGCCCGUACCGAAAAUGGACACACAUGGGUGAGGAGAGAAUCCUAAGGUGAGCGAGAGAACUAUAGCUAAGGAACUCUGCAAAAUGACUCCGUAACUUAGGGAGAAGGAGUGCUCAUAGAGAUAUGAGCCGCAGUGAAACGGCCCAAGCGACUGUUUACCAAAAACACAGCUCUCUGCUAAGCCGCAAGGCGAAGUAUAGGGGGUGACGCCUGCCCGGUGCUGGAAGGUUAAGGGGAGGGGUUAACGCAAGUGAAGCCCUGAACUGAAGCCCCAGUAAACGGCGGCCGUAACUAUAACGGUCCUAAGGUAGCGAAAUUCCUUGUCAGGUAAGUUCUGACCC